UGUGCUAAGCCCCUGCUACACAACAAAGAAUUCAUUGCAUGUGAUUAUUUCUCAGCUCUUUGGCCUGUCAUGAAGACUUGAAGCGUCUUCCCUAGAAACGGAGAUGCAACAGCUGAGGGACAGCACCUUCUCUACACUCUACUUCUUCACAGUCUAACCUGAACACAGUGAGAUGGCCACGUCUUGUCUCCAUUCUAGCCAACUCAGAAGGAGGUGAUCUUUCAACAAGUGAACAACAUGAAAAUCCAGCCAAUAUCUGCUGCUGUGCCUAUUGUAGAAUCCCUGCUUUGUCAGCACCUGUCUCAGGACACGGGGUAUCGUUUCUUCAAUGAGGAUAUUCAAUGACUCACCUCCAGUCUCAGAAGUCCAAUGGGUUCCAGGGAGAGCUUGACAACAAUAUCAGUCAUCAGGAAGAUACUCAUCCUCCUUACACUCUGAGGGAGCUGCAUACCCUCAACACUGGCCCUGGGGACUCCUCUGACCAUCCUGGAGGGGGCAGGCAGACCUCCAAUCACCUGAGUGCUCAGAGCUGAUGGUCUACAACCAGGGGCAGUGUUUUUCACUUGAUUUCUUUGUUCUGCAAGAAAUGGUAAAAUAGCAUUUAUACCUAAAGCAAUGUAAUAUAACUGUAUUUCCUCUGUCUCAUGUCUCUUGAAAAGCUGACAGAAUCACUAGAGACUUACAGAGAAUAGCCACAAAACAAGCAGGAGAAACAUCAGUCAGGGCAGUUCAGGCAAGGAUUAAUGCCACCAAUGAGAUGAAAUGUUUAUUGACACAGUGAUCAAUAUUGCUAGCUAGUUUAAAGUUUUAUCUUUCAUAAAUAUCAUAGCAAAUAAAAAAUGGCUUUUCUAAAAAGAUGGCUUAAAA
rnacentral:lncRNA from 1 species